AACUUUUAACAAUGGAUCUCUUGGGUCUCCCAUCGAUGAAGAACGCAGCGAAAUGCGAUAACUAAUGUGAAUUGCAGAACUCAGUGAAUCAUCGAGUCUUUGAACGCACCUUGCGCCCUUUGGUAUUCCGAAGGGCAUGCAUGUUUGCGUGUCAUUAAAUUCUCAACCUUAUUUGAUUCGUCUUGUAAGGCUUGGAUGUGAGGGUUGCCGGCUUCCUUUAGUUGAUGGCCAGCUCCCUUUAAAAGCAUUAGCUGGGAUCCUUUGUGGACUAGUUCACUUGGUGUGAUAAUUUAUCUACGCCGCUUGUGCAACUUGAAGCAAAACUUGUGGGAACCUGCUUAUAACCGUCUCUUCGGGGACAACCUAAUGACAAUUUGACCUCAAAUCAGGUAGGACUACCCGCUGAACUUAAGCAUAUCAAUAAGCGGAGGCU
rnacentral:misc_RNA from 1 species